rnacentral:rRNA from 1 species
UGGGGAAUAUUGGACAAUGGGCGCAAGCCUGAUCCAGCCAUACCGCGUGGGUGAAGAAGGCCUUCGGGUUGUAAAGCCCUUUGUUGGGAAAGAAAUCCAGCUGGCUAAUACCCGGUUGGGAUGACGGUACCCAAAGAAUAAGCACCGGCUAACUUUGUGUCAG